CGCCGCCCCCGCAGGCCGCCGCAGCAGAAGCAAGCCUCCUCCGAUUCGCUCGCCCUCCGUCGAGACCAUGGCGACCUCCCCCGCUCUCCUCUUCCCUUCGACCUCUUCAUCCUCCUCCCCGUCCUCGGCGCGGGUCGAGGCGGUGGUGCUCUUCAACAUCUGCGACAGCUACGUGCGCCGCCCCGACCAGGCGGAUCGCGUCAUCGGCACCCUCCUCGGAUCCCUCCUCCCCGAUGGCACCGUCCAUGUCCGCAACUCCUACGUCGUGCCGCACAGCGAGUCCGCCGACCAGGUCGC
rnacentral:lncRNA from 1 species